UACGUAGGGUGCAAGCGUUAAUCGGAAUUACUGGGCGUAAAGCGUGCGCAGGCGGCUUUGUAAGACAGAUGUGAAAUGCCCGGGCUUAACCUGGGAACUGCAUUUGUGACUGCAUGGCUAGAGUUUGGCAGAGGGGGGUAGAAUUCCACGUGUAGCAGUGAAAUGCGUAGAUAUGUGGAGGAACACCGAUGGCGAAGGCAGCCCCCUGGGUCAAGACUGACGCUCAUGCACGAAAGCGUGGGGAGCAAACAGG
rnacentral:rRNA from 1 species